UGACAUUUGUGCAAACAGGUGGCGACACACAUGCAAAACCUUUGCAUGGAAGAAACACUUUGAGAAUUGAGAUUAAUCACUCUCUCUUGUUUGAGUAUUGAAGGAAAAAGUGGGUCCAUGAGAGAUGGAGAAUCCUGCAAACUGAAGCUAUACAUCACGAGGAUAACACUUUCUCACAUGAUUUCUCAAUCUUUCUACCUUUU
rnacentral:lncRNA from 1 species